CAUCUGGAUAUGAGAACAUUAAACAAGAUUACAAUCACUGGCUCUGAAAGAAAUCCAUGGUAGAUGUACAUACAUGUCAACACAGCAGUUACACUUUCUAUAAGUAGUAGUACUGCACAACAGGAAGUACACAAACUCAUGAUGAUGGAUCAUUCCUGACAUGUUCUGUGACUUUAAAUGUCCUGUGUUGGUGUGUUUACAUCACUUUGAGUUCAUCAGUACCUGUGACAGUCAGAGUUGUAGCAGGUAAACUCCUCCCCCAUUCAAAGCUUCCUGCUGUGAAUGUGAAGCGAUACUCAGCUGAGUCGCUCUCUCUCAGGUCACUGAUUCUCAGAGUGGAGCGUCCUCCACCUUCAUCAAGGACCUGAACACGAUGCUGAGAGUCCAGCUGUGAGGGACUCUGCCACUGGAGACUACGUCCAGGACUGAACCACAAUUUAGACCUGAUGUAUCUGUAGUAACUGUUACGAAGGAAGGACGAGCAGGUAGACGACAACUGCUGUGACACGUCAGCUCAGCCCGGGAAGAAGAUGAAGAUGUUGUCACCUGCACCUGCAGAUCUGGAUCAGUGAAGAAGAAACAGGAGAGUUAGUUUAGACAAAACUGUGAACACACACAACACAUUUAUAUCACUGUUUUCUAGAUGUUGAAUAUUUGGACAUAAUUAACAUAAGAAUGAAAAUGUCACCUGUGACAGACAAAGUGACUCCAGGUGAACCAGAAUAUCUGCCACCAGGUUGGUUUGUUAUGAACCUGAACUUGUACUCAGCUGAGUCGCUCUCUCUCAGGUCUGUGAUUCUCAGAGUGCAGUCGUUGUCACCACACUGAACAUCCACACGACCUGAAUACUGUGGGUCUGUUGUCAG